rnacentral:sRNA from 2 species
ACUCAACACUAUAAUUCUUUAAAAAAGGUGAGUCGUGGUUGUAAAAGCAUGCUGGUCAUAAUGCCAGACCCUUGAUCAAUCAGUUAGCCUUAAACUUUAUUUAAGGAGUUC